GAUGAACGCUGGCGGCGUGCCUAAUACAUGCAAGUAGAACGCUGAAGGAGGAGCUUGCUCUUCUGGAUGAGUUGCGAACGGGUGAGUAACGCGUAGGUAACCUGCCUGGUAGCGGGGGAUAACUAUUGGAAACGAUAGCUAAUACCGCAUGACAACAGUUAUUGCAUGAUAACUGUUUAAAAGGGGCAACUGCUCCACUACCAGAUGGACCUGCGUUGUAUUAGCUAGUUGGUGAGGUAACGGCUCACCAAGGCGACGAUACAUAGCCGACCUGAGAGGGUGAUCGGCCACACUGGGACUGAGACACGGCCCAGACUCCUACGGGAGGCAGCAGUAGGGAAUCUUCGGCAAUGGACGGAAGUCUGACCGAGCAACGCCGCGUGAGUGAAGAAGGUUUUCGGAUCGUAAAGCUCUGUUGUAAGAGAAGAACGAGUGUGAGGGUGGAAAGUUCACACUGUGACGGUAUCUGACCAGAAAGGGACGGCUAACUACGUG
rnacentral:rRNA from 1 species